rnacentral:rRNA from 1 species
ACGCACGCUGGCGGCGUGCCUAAUACAUGCAAGUUGAGCGAUGAAGAUUGGUGCUUGCACCAAUUUGAAGAGCAGCGAACGGGUGAGUAACGCGUGGGGAAUCUGCCUUUGAGCGGGGGACAACAUUUGGAAACGAAUGCUAAUACCGCAUAAUAACUUUAAACAUAAGUUUUAAGUUUGAAAGAUGCAAUUGCAUCACUCAAAGAUGAUCCCGCGUUGUAUUAGCUAGUUGGUGAGGUAAAGGCUCACCAAGGCGAUGAUACAUAGCCGACCUGAGAGGGUGAUCGGCCACAUUGGGACUGAGACACGGCCCAAACUCCUACGGGAGGCAGCAGUAGGGAAUCUUCGGCAAUAGACGAAAGUCUGACCGAGCAACGCCGCGUGAGUGAAGAAGGUUUUCGGAUCGUAAAACUCUGUUGGUAGAGAAGAACGUUGGUGAGAGUGGAAAGCUCAUCAAGUGACGGUAACUACCCAGAAAGGGACGGCUAACUACGUG